AGUCGAACGGUAACAGGUCUUCGGAUGCUGACGAGUGGCGAACGGGUGAGUAAUACAUCGGAACGUGCCCGAUCGUGGGGGAUAACGAGGCGAAAGCUUUGCUAAUACCGCAUACGAUCUACGGAUGAAAGCGGGGGAUCUUCGGACCUCGCGCGGACGGAGCGGCCGAUGGCAGAUUAGGUAGUUGGUGGGAUAAAGGCUUACCAAGCCGACGAUCUGUAGCUGGUCUGAGAGGAUGAUCAGCCACACUGGGACUGAGACACGGCCCAGACUCCUACGAGAGGCAGCAGUGGGGAAUUUUGGACAAUGGGCGAAAGCCUGAUCCAGCCAUGCCGCGUGCAGGAUGAAGGCCUUCGGGUUGUAAACUGCUUUUGUACGGAACGAAAAGCCUCUUUCUAAUAAAGAGGGGUCAUGACGGUACCGUAAGAAUAAGCACCGGCUAACUACGUGCCAGCAGCCGCGGUAAUACGUAGGGUGCAAGCGUUAAUCGGAAUUACUGGGCGUAAAGCGUGCGCAGGCGGUUUUGUAAGACAGAGGUGAAAUCCCCGGGCUCAACCUGGGAACUGCCUUUGUGACUGCAAGGCUGGAGUGCGGCAGAGGGGGAUGGAAUUCCGCGUGUAGCAGUGAAAUGCGUAGAUAUGCGGAGGAACACCGAUGGCGAAGGCAAUCCCCUGGGCCUGCACUGACGCUCAUGCACGAAAGCGUGGGGAGCAAACAGGAUUAGAUACCCUGGUAGUCCACGCCCUAAACGAUGUCAACUGGUUGUUGGGUCUUCACUGAC
rnacentral:rRNA from 1 species